GUAAAAGCUGAAAUCAGCAUUAUUAUUCGCGUAUGACAUUAGAUCGAACAAGCCAGCUGAAGAAGCGACCAAGUACGAUCAUCCACGUUAGCGGCGCAUUCUUCGAAGACCCCCUCCUAGCUUCAAGGUUCUGAGAUAAUGCAAUGUUUUUCAGUAAGCGAGUCAGCGUGCAUGAAGUUAUGCAUAUCGUUUUUACUUGCCGCUUUGGUUUUGCUUAUCUCUUAACCGUAAACGCGCGACAUAAUUCAUGACAGAACGAUUCGCAGCAUAAUUUCUGCUCCUCAUCCGACAUAAAUCAAAACAGCAAAGAGAGAAUAACAGGACCCACCAGAAACUAAAAGCGUCUCUUCAGGAGUUCCAAACCGUUGAACCUGAUUCUCUUGCUCUUCGUGUCUUCUGCAGCAUCCACUCACGCUUUAGUGCGGGAGCUGAUCCGUGAUUGCUCUCUUUGGCAGCAACGAUCACAUCCAGUGUGCAUCCUCUCGGAAUCAAUGAAGAUUUCUGUGCCUCCUGCGUAGUUUCAGCCCCGUGCGCUUCUCGGCGUCGUCGAGCCGUGCUCGUGGUUCACUCUCGGCGGACAUUCGUUUUUGCGGGAGUGCAAAUACAGCGGGAUUGACGUCGUUCCACUAACCGACUGCGAGGCAGACACGUAACGAAAUGAAAAGCAAUUGCGCGCCCUGCCACUACGGAUGCGAUGAGGAAGAGCAGAGGGGCAUCCACGCCAUCCGUCCACCUGAUCGGACGAUCGGAUGCGGCUGGGUAAAUACCGCACCGCGCGUUCAUCCAUUCACCUUUGGUAGUCGUAAAAAAGAGAGAGAGAGAGAGAGCGAAAAAAAACGAUGGCGAGGUCGGCAAACGAUUAUCCGGGAUGCGACGGCCGAGUGUGAGUUUGCUCACCGGUGACACAAAUUCAGCCUGCCUCGUCGUUAUCUGCAGCCACGUAGUGCACCAAGUAUAAUAUACUAGCAUGACACAGAAUAACUAUUGUUAUCGUCUUCAUGCAUUUGAUGAUCGCUCUAGCAAUACUUAUGUCAAUACGAUUAAUGAUAUCAACAAAUUAUCUGGAGGCAGGAAUAGAUCAGGAGGGAGAUGGCCAAUGGGACUCUCCAAUCGAUCUUGGAUCUAACUUAAUGGGAUAGAAAUUUAAUAAAGGAAAUUUAAU